CCAUCAUCUGAACGUGGAUCUGCAUGCAUAUUUGUGUUGAUUCUACAUUGAAUAGGUUAGGAAUCAAUUUUGAUUCAACCUUCAUCUGAACAUGGAUCUGCAUGCAUAUUUGUGUUGAUUUUACAUUGAAUCAGUUAGGAAUCAACUUUGAUUCAACCAUCAUCUGAACGUG